rnacentral:rRNA from 1 species
UACGUAGGGUGCAAGCGUUAAUCGGAAUUACUGGGCGUAAAGCGUGCGCAGGCGGUUUUGUAAGUCUGUCGUGAAAUCCCCGGGCUCCAACCUGGGAAUUGCGAUGGAGACUGCAAGGCUAGAAUCUGGCAGAGGGGGGUAGAAUUCCACGUGUAGCAGUGAAAUGCGUAGAUAUGCGGAGGAACACCGAUGGCGAAGGCGAAUCCCCUGGGC